rnacentral:rRNA from 1 species
CACGUAGGGGGCGAGCGUUGUCCGGAUUUAUUGGGCGUAAAGAGCUCGUAGGCGGUUUCGUAAGUCGGAUGUGAAAACUCCAGCUCAACUUGGAGACGCCAUUCGAUACUGCGAUGACUUGAGUCCGGUAGGGGAGUGUGGAAUUCCUGGUGUAGCGGUGAAAUGCGCAGAUAUCAGGAGGAACACCGGUGGCGAAGGCGGGUCUCUGGGCCGAUACUGACGCUGAGGAGCGAAAGCGUGGGGAGCGAACAGG